rnacentral:rRNA from 1 species
UACGUAGGCAGCGAGCGUUGUUCGGAGUUACUGGGCGUAAAGCGUGCGUAGGCGGUGUCUUAAGUUUGUUGUGAAAUCUCCCGGCUUAACCGGGAGGGUGCGGCGAAUACUGAGAUGCUGGAGUGCCGGAGAGGUAAGCGGAAUUCCUGGUGUAGCGGUGAAAUGCGUAGAUAUCAGGAGGAACACCUGCGGUGUAGACGGCUUACUGGACGGGUAACUGACGCUGAGGCACGAAAGCGUGGGUAGCAAACAGG